UACAGAGGGUGCAAGCGUUGUUCGGAAUUACUGGGCGUAAAGCGCGUGUAGGCGGCAACGCAAGUCGGGUGUGAAAUCCCACGGCUCAACCGUGGAAGUGCACUCGAAACUGCGUAGCUAGAGUCCUGGAGAGGAAGGUGGAAUGCUUGGUGUAGAGGUGAAAUUCGUAGAUAUCAAGCGGAACACCGGUGGCGAAGGCGGCCUUCUGGACAGUGACUGACGCUGAGACGCGAAAGCGUGGGGAGCAAACAGG
rnacentral:rRNA from 1 species